UACUGAGGUCUCAAGCGUUGUUCGGAUUCAUUGGGCGUAAAGGGUGCGUAGGCGGCGCGGUAAGUCGGGUGUGAAAUCUCGGAGCUUAACUCCGAAACUGCAUUCGAUACUGCCGUGCUUGAGGACUGGAGAGGAGACUGGAAUUUACGGUGUAGCGGUGAAAUGCGUAGAUAUCUGGAGGAACACCGGUGGCGAAGGCGGCAUCCUGGACCGGUAUUGACGCUGAGGCGCGAAAGCUAGGGGAGCAAGCGGG
rnacentral:rRNA from 1 species